GAAUCCCAGCACUGGAAGACCAAGAGGGUUGACCUUUGCUAUCUUGAAAGGUGCAGCCUGUGUAGAGAAGAUACUAGAUCAGGAGCACAGGCUGGGUGGCCAUAGCAUGGACCCCCAAAAAGCCACUGUCAUGAAGAAAUAUUCUGUGAAGAAAAUCUUUGCAGGGCAUUUGAACUCCCAAAGCCACUGAGGAGAAGGUAAGGGAGUACUUUGGUGAGUUUGGGGAGGUGAGUUUCUCCCCAGGAUAUGGUUUAUUGUUCCCCAGCAACCAACAGUGGAUGCUUUUUUCUUUCUUCCUUCACUGGUGGAGUUAUCAGUGGAGCUGCUUUCUCCUCCUUUCUUGCCUUUAGAGGGCCGCCUUUUCUGAGUUCCCUUUAGGGCCUGAGCCAGGGAAAGGCAUUGGCCCUGAGCUUUGCCUGUGUUUCCAGAUGGAGGCCAUUGACCUUUCAGUGGAUCUGAAGUCUAACAAAAGACAAUGUCUUAUUUUCAUCACACCCCAAAGAAGAGGAAUCUGUGAGAAAUAUUGUGGAGAAAUUUAACACUAUCAGUGGAAGCAAGGUGAGGAGUCUCUGCCUCUAUGUGCCUCCCCUCCUACCUCUGGAGUGGUAGCCCUUUGGUUAAUGGCAACCCAAUAGGGUAACCAACCAUCCCAAUUUUAGCACUGAGAGCAUUGUGUCCUGGGAGACCCUUCCCUGGAAUGUAAAUAAUCCUGGUUUUAGCAACAAGUGUGGAAAGUUGGAGGAAAUGUACAAAACUCAUCAGUUUUAGAGGGUCUGAAAGCAACAUUGUCUUUAGUAUCAAAUGGAUAUGGCACAGGUUAUCCAUCAUCUUUAGUUGUUGUCACCCACUUGACCACUGAUAUUGGCAACCAUGAUUUGUAGUUCAGAAUGGUCAUCCAUCCGUGGUUGCAUCAUUCAAAGUGAUGUGGCUUAAGUGUAUAUAAUGAAUAUUAACAGUUCAUCUUUGACUUUGCCUGUGGAUUAAUUGGUGUGCUUUGUAACUAGAUAGUGCCAGUUUAAUUUUUUAACAUUGUGAAUAUUGUGACCAUGUUUUCUAAAAGGUCAGAUGAGAAUGAUUAUAAUAUCAAUGCAACCAUGAUCCCAUCACUGAAGAAGAAGGCUAAACAACUAUGUAAUUUUGAUGAUGGAUGGAAGGACACAUACUAUUGAACUAGGAAGGUAAAUAACCAAACAGAGCGUACUGCAUAAUAUGCAGGAAAAAAUUUGAGAUUGCACAUGGUGGAGAAGGGGAUGUGCAAGCACAUGUGGAGAGCAAAUCUCACAAGUAGGAUGGGACGGGUGAAUGCUUCUAAACCAAUCGAAAAUACUUUUGUUUCCCAAAAGACACCAAUGUUCAGUCAAAAAUAGCAACUGCUGAAUUAGCAUGGGCAUACCAGGCAAACAAGCAUGAAUUGUCAUAGCGUUCCUUUGAUUGCUCUAUGAAAUUGAGUAAAGUUUCGUUUCCUGAUUUAAGAAUUGCAGCUAAAAUACCCUCUGGACAAAGAAGAGGGGAAAUUUUGAUAACAAAUGUGUUGGUCCCUUACAGUGUAAAGCGAAUUUCUGUCAUAUCUCACCAACAAUUCUGGUUUCUAUAGUACAUCAGUUUUAAGUAAUAUGCUGAAUCAUGGCAGCAAAAAUAUGUUUCCUCCAGCUGUUAGGUACUUUGACUUGAAAACAGAAGUUUCAAAGCAUCUUCUUCAUUUCUAUGAGGAUUUUAAUGAAACUGCUGAAAUCAUAAAAUAUUGUUGAUAUUUGCCUAAAUACAAACUAGACUUAGCUCAUCUAUCUGCAUAUUUGUCAGACAGUACAGAUGUAAAUUUUGGCAAAUUCUAUUCAGUCUAUAAACUUCUUACCAAAGAAAAUGAAAAGAUCUUAUUCAUUCAAUGCCUUGUACAUCUUAUAUACAGCACUGCUAAAAAGGGAUGUGAGUUGCUUAAAUGUGACAUUGAGACUUUCAUAAUGAAAGCUUUUGGUUACUUUUCAAUUUCCUCAAAAAGUGCUGAAGCACUUAAGGAGAUUUUUGACUUCACAGAAAUGGAAGGUGAUAACCUCUUUAGAUGUGUGCCUACAAGAUGGCUGUCAUUGCAGCGAGCCAUAGAAAAGAUGCUAAAAUGUUGGCCUGCCAUAAGACCAUAUUUUCAAAGGACAAGAAUAAUGUCCUUUGACAUUGUUUGGGAUCUGAAAGGAGAAAAAAAUCCAGAAUCUGAAGUGGGCCUUAAAAAAAUCAGUAAGUCCCUUGUGACUUUGAUGUUUAUGAAUCUGUCUCUCAAAAGCCAGGGUGCCCCUGGAAGAACUGAGACAAACUGAGUUUCUGAACAUUUGAAAAUGAGGAGCAGGCUCAAGAUCCACAGGGUGUAACCAUCCCGUGAGGCCCUGCCUUAGCAGCCAGUCAGUGAGGCUCUUCGCCUUCUUUCCCUUUCUCUGAUUCCACCUAUGUACAACUUACGAAAACUUGCAUUACUAUAGACUGGGAGUUUUUAAAUUGGAAUCUGUGACUCUAAAGGGGCCAGAGGAUAGAAAUCAGGAAAUCUGAAAACUUCAAUGGAGAAAAGUUUUCAUUUCUUUCCGUCAGGAAAAUAGGCAACAAACCACAGCAGUAUUAGUACCUGUGUCUCUGUCGACACUAGGAAUCACAGAUAUCCAUGUUACAGAUAUCUUAAAAUAUUCAUGUACAGCACCACUUUGAAAUUAUGGUAAUAAUUAGAUCCACCCCCUAGGUCUUGUAAUCUUUAAUAUGUUAAUAAAGAAACACAUCUAUUAUAUGACAGAUUUAAA